rnacentral:rRNA from 11 species
GUCUCAAAUCGGGCAGGAAUACCCGCUGAACUUAAGCAUAUCAUUAAGCGGAGGAAAAGAAACUAACUAGGAUUCCCUCAGUAGCGGCGAGCGAAGCGGGAAAAGCUCAAGAUUUUAAUCUGCGGACGACGUCCGUAGAACUGUAGUCUGGAGGGGCGCGAUCAGGAGGUACCUUUUAGCUUAAGUCUUCUGGAAUGAAGCACCAUAGAGGGUGAAAGUCCCGUGUCUGGCUAAAGUGUGUACCUUCCCUCCGAUGCGCCCUGGUCGAGUCGAGUUGCUUGGGAGUGCAGCUCAAAUAGGGUGGUAUACUUCAUCCAAAGCUAAAUAUGGGCAGGAGACCGAUAGCGAACAAGUACCGUGAGGGAAAGAUGAAAAGAACUUUGGAAAGAGGGUGAAAUAGUGCUUGAAACCGCUGGGAGGAAAGCGAAUGGAGCUACUGCAGGUCCGAGAAUCUCAAACCGGCAUUCUGGUUGGUUCUGGUGUAGAGAUCUCGGUGCCGCGCUCGUGGUGUCUUCUUAUUCUGACGAAAGAGGGUAGUUUGUUAAGUUGAAAGUCAUUCUUUCCUUUUGGGAAGAAUGAAUUUCAUUGCUUUGCUAUUUUUUCCAAUGGUCAAAGAACAGAAGUCACGAUUCAAAGGGAGAUAGAAAGGACGUGCGUUUUCGCGUCCUCUGUCUCCAAGAACGGGCGGAGGGGCUUUAUUCGACCCGUCUUGAAACACGGACCAAGG